GCUUGUAGCUUUUGAAAGCUACUUCAAGGAGCCUUUAGAAAGCGAAAGUACUCUCGAUAAUCCGGUUUCCAAAUUUGUGAUUCAAUAUUUUAAUAAAUUAUAUUACAUGCCCUCAAUUAUUUGCAAUCUUGGAUAAAUUUGUAUAUAGGAAGAUGAAAAUAUGUUCAACAUGAUUUUUUAUCUUGUUUGUGCUUAUGAUAUAUGUUCAACAUGAUUCAAGGUUCACGAGGAAUUGAAUAAGUUUUAUUGAAUCACUUGGGAGUGAAGCGCAAUGUGGCUACUCCCUUAUUUUGGAUCAACAGCCAGAAAGAAGCUUAAUUUCUACUAUCUUGGGAAGAGCUUGAUGAAAACCUUUAUGUUCUCCGAUUCUCAAAUCUAAUAUUUGACCAUUAUGGACAAGGCAGUAUAUAAGAAAUGAACAGAUGAUAUUCUAAGAGGAUUUUGGCACUGAAGGACUCCACAUGUAACAUUUCUUCCUUAGAAACAUUCACACUUCCUUAUCUAUUAUAUGGAUUCUCAGCAAUUUUCCCUCAUAUACUUUCUGUAUUGGUGUUAAAGCUCUAACUUGUUAUCAUUUUUCUUCUUGAACUUUAAAGUAAAGGUUUUGUUUGUUCCUGAUUCUGUAUUGAUGAAGUUUUCUACUUACCGAACUGUGCCUUUUU